rnacentral:rRNA from 1 species
GACGAACGCUGGCGGCGUGCUUAACACAUGCAAGUCGAACGGAAAGGCCCUGCUUGCAGGGUACUCGAGUGGCGAACGGGUGAGUAACACGUGGGUGAUCUGCCCUGCACUUCGGGAUAAGCCUGGGAAACUGGGUCUAAUACCGGAUAGGAGCCAUUUUUAGUGUGAUGGUUGGAAAGUUUUUUCGGUGUAGGAUGAGCUCGCGGCCUAUCAGCUUGUUGGUGGGGUAAUGGCCUACCAAGGCGGCGACGGGUAGCCGGCCUGAGGGGGUGGACGGCCACAUUGGGACUGAGGGACGGCCCAGACUCCUACGGGAGGCAGCAGUGGGGAAUAUUGCACAAUGGGCGCAAGCCUGAUGCAGCGACGCCGCGUGGGGGAUGACGGCCUUCGGGUUGUAAACUCCUUUCGCUAGGGACGAAGCUUUUUGUGACGGUACCUAGAUAAGAAGCACCGGCUAACUACGUG